rnacentral:tRNA from 1 species
GGCUCGAUGGACGGCAUGGACGCCCGAAACCCGGACUCAUAAUCCGUUGGUCGAAGGUUCAAAUCCUUCAGGGCCCACCA